UACGGAGGGUGCAAGCGUUGUCCGGGUUUAUUGGGUUUAAAGGGUGCGUAGGCGGUUCUUUAAGUCCGGGGUGAAAGCCCACUGCUCAACAGUGGAACUGCCCUGGAAACUGGAGAACUUGAGUACAGACGAGGGCGGCGGAAUGGAUGGUGUAGCGGUGAAAUGCAUAGAUACCAUCCAGAACCCCGAUUGCGAAGGCAGCUGCCUAGACUGUAACUGACGCUGAGGCACGAAAGCGUGGGGAGCAAACAGG
rnacentral:rRNA from 1 species